rnacentral:tRNA from 1 species
GCCCCCUUGGCGGAACUGGUAGACGCUGCGGACUUAAAAUCCGCCGCCGCAAGGCAUGCGGGUUCGAUUCCCGCAGGGGGCA